GGGGUAUUUGUAAAACUAUACAAAUUUACAGCAUAGUGCAAAUAUGUCUCAUCAGUGCAUCAGAUUCAAGUUGAGCAAACAUAUCUGUGUGUAUUAUGAAGUCAGGCAAAGUUACAAUGUAUAUGAACAUGUCAGGCAGUUAUGAUCCACCUAAUAGAGUCAUAAACAGUUGCAGGCAGCCAGCGUAUUAUAGGGUAACGUAGCUAUGUAAAUACUACCAUAACCACUGUGUAUUAAUGGCAGCCAAGUCCAGUCACAUUGUGUGUAAAGCCAUAGUAAUAAUGCAUUUUAAGUUGUCAGAUAGUUAUGGCAUAUCUGUAAUAAUUAAAAUGUUGACUGGUCUAUUUACAAAAAUUGAGAAAUAAAUUUAAUUCCAUUGCAACUCUCAGCAAAUUUCAGGUUUUAAGAUGCCUGACUUAGACAUCUAUUAAGAUGUAGAACAAAGAU